UGUGUGUCUUUGUUUAGAACCAAAUGAUAGUGUGUCUGUGUGUAGAUCUAGAUAUUAAUGUGUCUGUGUGUACAUCUAAUGGUUAGUGUUGUGUCUGUGUACAUCUAAUUGUUAGUUUGUCUGUGUGUACAUCUAAAUAUUAGUGUGUGUCUUUGUUUAGAACCAAAUGAUAGUGUGUCUGUGUGUAGAUCUAGAUAUUAAUGUGUCUGUGUGUAGAUCUAAUUGUUAAGUGUGUCCGUGUGUACCUCUAAUUGUUAGUGUGUCUGUGUGUACAUCUAAAUGUUAGUGUGUCUGUGUGUACAUCUAAAUAUUAGUGUGUGUAUUUGUUUAGAACCAAAUGAUAGUGUGUCUGUGUGUAGAUCUAAUUGUUAAUGUGUCUGUGUGUAGAUCUAAUUGUUAGUGUGUCCAUCUAAUUGUUAGUGUGUCUGUGUGUAGAUCUAAUUGUUAGUGUGUCUGUGUGUACAUCUAAAUAUUAAUGUGUCUUUGUGUACAUCUAAAUGUUAGUGUGUGUCAUUGUUUAGAACCAAAUGUUAGUGUGUCUGUGUGUACAUCUGUGUGUGUGUGUGUAUGUGUGUCAUGCGUAGAUCUGGAUUUGCUCCUGAGGGGUUGACGUGACGUCCUGAUGGCGUCCCGUUGACGUGGCGUCCUGAUGGCACCCUGAUGGCGUCCCGUUGACGUGGCGUCCUGAUGGCGUCCCGUUGGUCUACAGACAAGGAGAAGAGACGUGAGGAGGAUCAUCAGGAUGUGAGACAAGAUUCAUAGAUCCAAUUAUUUUAAUUUGAUGCACAUUUUAAUUAUUUCAUGUUUGUAUGGAUGUGUAAAUCUACAUUAUAUAUUUGUGGUUGUUAAACUGUAUUUCUGUAUUUGCUUUUUAUGUUUAGCUAGUCACUGUGCAUACCAAUAUGUUAGUGCGUCUCUGUGUAAGUACUUUUUACAUUACAUUACAUUUCAUUUAGCUGACGCUUUUAUCCAAAGCGACUUACAAUAAGUGCAUUCAACCAUAGGGUACAAACUCAGAAGUGCAAUUUCCUCAAAUAACUUUUAUAUGUUAGUGCGUCUCUGUGUAAGUACUUUUAUAUGUUAAUGCGUCUCUGUGUACAUCUACAUGACAACAGCAGGAAUCAGAGGUUUAUCUCAAGGUAUUAGCUUUAAAUCACAGCCUUCCCCACCCGAUAGACCAAUACAUCAUUCACAGCAGUAAGGCUGCAGUCUGUCUGGAUUCCUCACUUACCUUGAGCUCUGUUAAGUGCAGCAGAACGCGUCUUCAUUCCCUCUACAGACUCCUGAGGCAUUACAUGGUUGCGUUCUGCAAGUGUAGGUCCGGAAAACUUCAGUGUGUAGAUGCGAGGUUUGAAACUGACUGACUGGAUGUGCAACAGACUGUGUUCUUAUGCUGUGGUGAACGGAGCAUAGAACAUAGAACAUGGAACAUGGAACAUGGAGAAAUGUUCCAUCAUGAUGUAACGUCUCUAUGGUUACAGUGAAGGUAUCUACAAUAUGCAAAUGAGCCUUUAGAGUAAAUGUGUGUGUGUAUUUGUAUUGAUGGAGCUCAUCCACUUGACAUGGUGCAUAAAACACUUUGCUCUACUUGUUUUUUUCUAUGACCCCAUCUUGAUCUUGAAAGCAAACACUUAAAGAAUAAAUAAAGAACGAUUUUUGUCCAUUGUUUCAUCAAGUCGGAAAUUUGUAAACUGUUGAAUCCGGAUUUUUAAACAUCCCUUUCGAGCCCUCUUGUCUCCAGUCUUCAUGCUAAGCUAACCAGCGGCUGGCUUUAGCUUCACGUUGAGCGCGCAGACAUGAGAGUAGGGAUGAGUAUCGUUUGGGUUUUCCGAUACCGAUCCUAAACAGCCUGAACCCAAACACAACUGAAGAAAAGUUUUUUUUCACUUCAAACUAUGCACAAUAUAUGAACUUUUGAAAGUUUACAGUAUGAUUACAGUGUUUCCCCUCUGUAACAGCGGAAGUGUAGUUAAUUGGAAUUUGGGGAAUAUUAAUCAUUUAAUCUGAGAUUCAUGUUCAUUGUGCAGAACUAAAGACAUUUAUUGAAAAGCAUUUACGUUAGAUUGACG
ensembl:lncRNA